UACAGAGGGUGCGAGCGUUAAUCGGAAUUACUGGGCGUAAAGCGCACGUAGGCGGCUUGGUAUGUCGGGUGUGAAAUCCCCGGGCUCAACCUGGGAACUGCAUCCGAAACUGCCUUGCUCGAGUAUGGGAGAGGGAAGUGGAAUUUCCGGUGUAGAGGUGAAAUUCGUAGAUAUUCGCAAGAACACCAGUGGCGAAGGCGGCUCACUGGCCCGGUACUGACGCUGAGGCACGAAAGCGUGGGGAGCAAACAGG
rnacentral:rRNA from 1 species